CGGAAAUAUGUCGGUUUUGUUUUUUGUUUUGGUGUGAAUUUCAGGAUAUUUAUAAUACCACGUUCAUCAGCGAUUAGAUUAAAAUAGAAAAGAAGUGGAAUAUAGUACACUGUAUUGUAUCACGGCUAUCCAAGGGUGUGAAGUAGAAUUGGAAUGUAAGCAGUGCAAUGUCCAGCCUCGCUUCCAACCUUUGGUUCUUGACAAUUCAUUAGACAGUAAUUAGUUCCUGACAAAUUGUUUAUCAUCACAUAGCUGGAGUAGUUUUCCAGAAGUAGUACAGCAAUUAGUUUCUAUCGUCUGACUUAAAUUUCUUUUACUAUGAUGGCAAGAAUGCAAAUUAUAAGGUUGGCUCGAGUUGUAAUCUAGACAAAAAUUCUCUAAGACAGACAGUUAUUGAUACAUAUGCUAUAUGAACUUACAAGAGACACAAUUCAAGGCUGUUCUAAAAAAUAUUUACAGAGUAUUGCUGGAAAGAAUACCAUAAAGUUGGAAGACCUAACGAGAAGGCUAACAUAGUUAAUAUUUUGAUACUGUUUUCAAGUGCAAUAUUUAAGAGAAGCAAAAUAUGAAGAAUUAUUAGCAGGAAACUGAAAAAUUCAAGAAAGAACAUGUUCACUGAAUGAUAAAACCUCUGUGUUUCAAUAUCAUCAAUGUUGUCGAUUACCACAAUAUUUAAGAUACGGUAGCUGUUGUAGAGCAUAGUAUCGAUUUUAGUUAAACAGAGAAGAAAAACAUAUCAAUAAAUAAUUCUUUCCUGCCUGCCAGAAAUAAUCAAGAUUCUCUAUCGACUUGAUACUCGAAGUUCCAGACCAAAUGUCUGUAUACUUGGCAUUUGAAAAGAAAGACUUCCUUCUGAAUGAAAUAUAAUGGAUAUUAAGCAAAUGAAAUUUGUUGAAGUUCUUGAGAUGUGGACAUAUAAAUAGUAAUGGACUUUUUGGGGAGUUCUAUGACGAAAUAGGAUGAUGCAUAAAAAGAAAUGUCCUAUGAAGGCUUUGGAGAACAUUAAGAGAAAAUUAAUAAUGGUUAGGAAAUAAAAUGUUUCAAAACGGAAUACGAGAGUAGAAAAUAGUUGGCGAUAAUGUUUGAUAUCCGAGUUGUAUUGUAUCUUUAAAAAUAUGAUUGUCACUAUAAAAUUACAAUCUCUAUAUAUCUAUAAUUCAUGAGUAAAAUUAUAGAGAAUAAAAUUAUUUUCUGUGGCUGUAUUAUAUUUUCAUAUAUGUUUGUUUUUACGUUAAAAUUGUAUAUUUUAAAAUGUUAUAUAUUUAUAAGAAAAUAGCUGUACACACAAAAUUACAAGGGAGGCAUAUCUUAAUUUAAGGCUUGGUUUUUAAGGUGUUGACGAACAUCGACAAUGACAACUAGUGAUCGUUACCAGAAUAUAUUACAAUGAAUUUAAUUAAAGCGUUUUUUAAUGCCAAAUGUUAAAUAUCCAUCACCGGGCAAUCAUUGCUGGGGUUUAUCCACACCAUAAAUCUCAGUUUUUAUUAACUGCCUACAUUUGAAUUAUAACUCUGUAAGCACUUAGGGAGUGUGACUUUGUUUAAGAGGUGAAUUUGUGGGACAAGUGAAGUGAAAUCCCGGAAUAUCACACGAGUUGCAUAAAAUCAUAUAUCGUAAAGUAUGUAAUAUCAAAUGUGAUUUUUUUCUAAUUUUGACAAAAAAUUAAAGCUUAGCUUUAAUUCUCUUACUUCAUAAAUCUUAAUUCAGUGAGAUAAAAUCUAAAUUAGUUUUGAAAUUCAUUUUGAGAAAGAUGUCAGUAUAGAAAAAUGUAAUAAUUAAAAAUGUUUUCACACGAU